UCAACAUAGCAAAAACCUUUUCGGCUGUUCAUGUAAAAUGGCGACGAUUGAUACGGCAAUAGCAUCUGCGCUUCAACAAUUCAAUUUAACGUGUUUAAAGGAAGAACAAAAACAGAUUCUUCAAGCCAUUCUGUCAGGAGAGGAUUGUGUUGCUGUACUACCAACAGGAUAUGGAAAAUCCCUACCAUAUCAACUUUAUAUUCCGGUUUUAAAAUGUAUAGUAUGCGACAACACUGCAUCGAAGAAGCCAGUUGUUUUGGUUUGCUGUCCACUUGUAGCACUCAUGGAAGACCAAGUACGGCGUUUACGAGAGAUACCAUCUGUAAAUGCCGAGUUAAUAGGUGGAGAAGCAGAUGAAGUGAUUAGAAAUGGUGAGGCAGAUAUAAUUUUUUGGCUCUCCAGAAAUGAUUAUUGGAAGUAAACACUGGCGGGAAGAGUUAGAGAAAUUCAACAUAAAGCUUAUUAAUGUUGAUGAGUUCCAUACAGUUGCCACUUGGGGUGCAGUCGGACAAGAGGAGGAAAAGGCUUUUAGAAAAUGGUUCAGAUGUAUAGGAGAACUGAGAUCUUUAUUUCCAUCUGCAGUUAUGCUAGCUUUAAGUGCAACAUGUACCAAAAAAAAUGUUAAACAAAGUUACAGAUGCUUUAUUGAUGACAGGAUGUAAACAUUUCACCACAAGGAAUCCAAAUAAAGAAAAUAUUAAGUAUAUUGUAAGGAAAAUAGAAAAUGAUAUCCAGUCAUCAAUGUUUUGGUUGAUUGAAUCCAUAGAAAAAUACAAGGACAAAUUUCCACGAACUCUAAUUUAUUGCAAUUCCAUAAAGGAUGUAUCGUAAAUCUACAAUUAUGUGGUGGAGGAGGUUCCUAUAUGUAAACCCUUUGUAGAUAUGUUUCAUUCAGAAACCACGAGUGAAAAAAAGUCACAGAUCUUAUCUCAGCUGACAAAACCUAGCAACUUAAAAUUAGUAAUAUGCACAAGUGCACUGGGAAUGGGCAUAGAUAUUGUUGACUGUUACAGUGUUGUCAUGUAUGGUCCACCUUCAAAUGCAGUAGAAUUUUACAGGAAGGUGGACGUGUAGGAAGAAAAGGAGAAAAAUCAGUGUGUGUGUUGUUGUACCAUUCCCACCAACUGCAACACAGAUGAUGAUAUUAGGUCUUUACUGAGAGAAACCACAUGUAGACGACUGUCUAUAAUGAGCUGUUUUGUAAAGGCUAAAGAAUUAGAAGAGAUUAAAAGUAAGCACUUUAAAAAA